rnacentral:rRNA from 1 species
UACGUAGGGGGCUAGCGUUGUCCGGAAUCAUUGGGCGUAAAGCGCGCGUAGGCGGCCCGGUAAGUCCGCUGUGAAAGUCAAAGGCUCAACCUUUGAAUGUCAGCGGAUACUGCCGGGCUAGAGUCCGGAAGAGGCGAGUGGAACUCCUGGUGUAGCGGUGGAAUGCGCAGAUAUCAGGAAGAACACCGGUGGCGAAGGCGGCGACCUGGGUCGAGACUGACGCUGAGGCGCGAAAGCGUGGGGAGCAAACAGG